AGCGAACGCUGGCGGCAGGCCUAACACAUGCAAGUCGAACGAACUCUUCGGAGUUAGUGGCGGACGGGUGAGUAACACGUGGGAACGUGCCUUUUGGUUCGGAAUAACUCAGGGAAACUUGUGCUAAUACCGAAUGUGCCCUUCGGGGGAAAGAUUUAUCGCCAUUAGAGCGGCCCGCGUCUGAUUAGCUAGUUGGUGAGGUAACGGCUCACCAAGGCGACGAUCAGUAGCUGGUCUGAGAGGAUGACCAGCCACACUGGGACUGAGACACGGCCCAGACUCCUACGGGAGGCAGCAGUGGGGAAUCUUGCGCAAUGGGCGAAGGCCUGACGCAGCCAUGCCGCGUGAAUGAUGAAGGUCUUAGGAUUGUAAAAUUCUUUCACCGGGGACGAUAAUGACGGUACCCGGAGAAGAAGCCCCGGCUAACUUCGUG
rnacentral:rRNA from 1 species